GCAGGUUAGAUGAAGUUAGUUCUGCAUCAGAAUUGGAUUAUUUGUUCCAGGACUUUCAAGUUAAGUUUAUUUAACUAGCUAACUGACUGAAUAGUUCUGUGUUAGUUAUUAUUAUUUCUGACUAUACUAUGGUAUAUACACUAACAUUGCAAUUAUUCUAGAAGUUUAAGAUUGUUAUAUUUUUGAUAGUAAUGUGCCUUGCGUUUUAACGUUAUUAUUUUCCAAUUAAUUAAUUCUUAAAACUUCAAAUUUAUUUUCAGGAAUAGGGGCGAGCAUUCUGUAUUACGUCACUAUAUAGAAACGUCACUCGCGAUAUUACAUCGGUUUAUACGCAAUCGCUUUUUCGUUACGUCACAAUCGUUUCGCAAAUUCGCUGCGUAGUUACACGCCUGAAUGACGUCAACCGCGAUUCGCAGCUUUCGUUACGUCAUAAUCGUUGCGCAAAUAUUUGCUACGUCGUUACACGCCUAAUGACGUCAUAACCGCGACGCGCACGAUAAUUGCGUCAUAGUUCAGUCCUCGCAAGAUUUGUUUUCCCUUCACAACGCGGUUUCUUCUGCGCAUGCGUUUUGCGUCGUUUCAUGCGGCCCAUGCGCCCCAUGCGCGUUUGGCGUCGUGCGCGAGGCACUUUACUAGUAUUUUCUAACAUAUGUUUAAACUUUUGCGUUUUGUGCCCGGAAGUUGAAAGAAGAUGAAAGAAUCAGUUAAGUUUUAAACCACAAUAGGCAUUGUUACGUAACACAUGCUGUUUUCUAGAAACAUCGAUGAUGUGACGUCACGAAGUGGUGACGACGCAACAGAAGAAUCCACUUCAACUCGGUAUGUGACUUCACUCAGGAUCAAGCUGUUCAUCAUGCGCAAAUUCGGAAUAAAAAAAACUCCGCGAUUAUUUCUUCAGAAGAAAAGCACAAG